AAAAUAUGAAAUAUCAUAGAUAUAUGACAUAGAUGAUUGGUUGUCUUAGAAGCCAUGAAUGCCCCAAUAUGCAAAUUUGAAUGUGCAAGGCCUCAGAUAUGAUUGGCUGGCUGGGAAGCCAUGAUGGCAACAAUAUACAAAUUUGAAUGUGCAAGCCCUCGGAUAUGAUUGGUUGUCUUAGAAGCCAUAUAAAAAGCAGUAAAACUGUACUAUGAUUUGGUAGAAAAACUAUAAUUAAUCAAAAAUACUAUAUUUGGCAGAAAUACUAUAUUUAGCACAAAUCUUAUGAAAUAGCAGAAAUAGUAUGAUUUAGCACAAAUGCUGUAUUUAGCACAAAUACUGAAAAGCAGCAGAAAUGCUAUGACUUAGCACAAUAGUAAUAACUUAAAUAGAAAAAUUGGAAAAGCAAAAUGGACAGCGGAAAAAAUGCUGAACAUGCUAAGGGUCCCUCAAAUGUAACUGUUAAAUGAAAAGAAAAAUCAGGAAAAAAGUAUAACAGUCACACAAUCACAAAUAUGGACACAUAUGGAAACACACAUGCACAGAGAGACACACACACAAGAUCCAAUUCAGUCAACCAGUCUAAAUAUAUUGAAUUUGAAUCUUACAAUGAGAUCAUCCCAUAAAAAGGCUUUCUCUCCAGAAUUGCGGAAGUUUCCCAUUCAUUUCAAUGGGACAAAUUAAAGGAAAAAAACGUAAUAUUUUAAAAAGUAUAAUAGUAUAAAAUACCAAAAGAUAUAGCCAUCAUUAGCAGAAAUAGCAGAAUAGUUUAAAAUUUGAACGGUGAAAAUCGGCUGAAAAUUGUGGAAGUAGAUCCACGGCGAAAAACGUACGGAAGCAACUUGAAGAAGAAACAGGAACUCAAUAGUGUGGAUGCUUAAAGCAUCCACACAAUAAUAAUAAUAAUAAUAAUAAUAAAGAAUAAAGAGAAACAGGAACUCAAUAGUGUGGAUGCUUAAAGCAUCCACACAAUAAAGAGAAACAGGAACUCAAUAGUGUGGAAGCCCUUUUAGGGCAUCCACACAAUAAAGAAUAAAGAGAAACAGGAACUCAAUAGUGUGGAAGCCCUUUAAGGGCAUCCACACAAUAAAGAGAAACAGGAAAACAAUUGUGUGGAAGCCCUUUAGGGCAUCCACACAAUAAAGAGAAACAGGAACUCAAUAGUGUGGAAGCCCUUUAGGGCAUCCACACAAUAAAGAGAAACAGGAAAACAAUUGUGUGGAAGCCCUUUAGGGCAUCCACACAAUAAAGAAUAAAGAGAAACAGGAACUCAAUAGUGUGGAAGCCCUUUAAGGGCAUCCACACAAUAAAGAAUAAAGAGAAACAGGAACUCAAUAGUGUGGAAGCCCUUUUAGGGCAUCCACACAAUAAAGAGAAACAGGAACUCAAUAGUGUGGAAGCCCUUUUAGGGCAUCCACACAAUAAAGAGAAACAGGAACUCAAUAGUGUGGAAGCCCUUUGAGGGCAUCCACACAAUAAUAAAGUAGAAUAAAGAAUAAAGAGAAACAGGAACUCAAUAGUGUGGAUGCCUUAAAUCAUCCACACAAUAAAGAG
ensembl:lncRNA